rnacentral:rRNA from 1 species
GGACCUGACUGCUAUCGGAUUGGUACUAAGCCAUGUGAGUCGUUGUAGUAAUACAAGGCAUACGGCUCAGUAACACGUAGUCAAUCUAACCUAUGGACGGGGAUAACCUCGGGAAACUGAGGAUAAACCCCGAUAGAUCAUAAUGCCUGGAACGGUUUAUGGUCCAAAUGAUUCGUCGCCGUAGGGUGGGACUGCGGCCUAUCAGCUUGUUGGUGAGGUAAUGGCCCACCAAGGCUAUUACAGGUACGGGCUCUGAGAGGAGAAGCCCGGAGAUGGGUACUGAGACACGGACCCAGGCCCUAUGGGGCGCAGCAGGCGAGAAACCUUUGCAAUGUGCGCAAGCACGACAAGGUUAAUCCGAGUGUUUCCUGCUAAAGGAAUCUUUUGUUAGUUCUAAAACCACUAAUGAAUAAGGGGUGGGCAAGUUCUGGUGUCAGCCGCCGCGGUAAAACCAGCACCUCAAGUGGUCAGGAGGAUUAUUGGGCCUAAAGCAUCCGUAGCCUGUUCUAUAAGUUUCCGGUUAAAUCCAUUAGCUCAACUAAUGGGCCGCCGAAAAUACUGUGGAACUAGGGAGUGGGAGAGGUAGACGGUACUCGGUAGGAAGGGGUAAAAUCCUUUGAUCUAUUGAUGACCACCUGUGGCGAAGGCGGUCUACCAGAACACGUUCGACGGUGAGGGAUGAAAGCUGGGGGAGCAAACCGGAUUAGAUACCCGGGUAGUCCCAGCUGUAAACGAUGCAGACUCGGUGAUGCGCUGGCUUGUGGCCAGUGCAGUGCCGCAGGGAAGCCGUUAAGUUUGCCGCCUGGGAAGUACGUACGCAAGUAUGAAACUUA